CUUCGUACAAGGAUUUAUUAAAAUUGUGUGUGCAAAACGGAGGUGAGUGCAAAUUAGAGGAGUACCGCCUCACCCUUCAAGACUUAUAUUCAGUGUCGGUCUUUGGAGGAGAUUAAGAAUUACAAGAAAUAUGGAAGUCGUCCUCGGCGUCACAAGGUGAAAACACAAGACAAAGAAGAAAGCAAUGACAAAACCAAAAAUGAAAUAGAUGAAAUGCUUGUUGCUCAAGGAAAAGCAAAAGCAGAAGUUAUGAGAACUUUUGUUGAAGAGUUUCUUUCGGAAGCUUAUUACAAUCAGCUUCACAUGUUCAACCCAUAAUCAACAAAAAUCAACUAUUAUAUAAUGUUCAAACUGACUGUAAAACAUUAUCAUCAAUUUAUUUAAUACCUAUGUUGACAACUUCCAUGUGAUUUAGGAUUUUCAUAUGAUUUUAUUUUGAAUUUCUAUGUUGGAUGAAAUGACUUUCAGCUAUGCUUUAUUUUUGGGGUUAGUCUAAUAAUUUGCUAGAAAGAUCUCAAUCCAUUGGUUGCUUUUCAUGGUUGUGGAUAUUGGGUAUGUUUUUAUUUGAAAUAAUUUUGUGUUU